rnacentral:lncRNA from 1 species
AUGGCUACUAUACUAUUAUGAGUAUUGGAGACCUCGUACUCAUAAGUUGUUUUCAAUGAUGGAGCUUCCGAAUCGACGAUCCACUCCGUUAAAUAUGAUGUAGACUAUUUGAAACUGCUAGAAAAUAAAUUUCGUAAAUUUUUGAAAUCACAAUAAAGUCCAUUAAAUGGGCAUAAAAUGAAUGGUCAAAAUCGAGUGACGUUUUAAAAAAGGAUGAUCGGAUUCUUCAAUUCAAGAUCGGAGUUAUUGAUCUUUAUCUAUGUAGUGAAUAGAAUUUUUUAUCAAAAAUUCAACAAAUUCCGAUUCUUUUACACCGUUAAACUAGCAAGUAUCCCAUACCGGCCGUUAAAAAUUGUCAAAUUUGUGACCUCUUGAUCGUAAGGUAAAUGAUGUCGAAAAAUUAUAAAAUUUGAUUUCUAGAAAUUUUAAAUGCUGUAAAUAACGUUUAACGGUAUGGAUCGUCGAUUCGCAAGCUCUAUCAUCGAAAACAACUUAUGAGUACGAGGGCGAUUGUACUCAUAAUAGUAUAGUAGCCGGACCCUAUAUAUAUAUAUAUAUAUAUAUAUAUAUAUAUAUAUUGAGUACAGCUAAUAUCGGAAGUAUUGAAAACCUGGUACUUCUGACUUUUUGGCUCUUAGAUCAGUCUCUUUAAUCAUUUAUAACAUUUGAAUUAAUACGAUUAUCCUAUGGGGACCACUCAACCCUAGGGGUAUACUACUCAACCCUAGGGUGACCACAAUCAUUCUUGUCGUACAAUUCUUGAUUCAAGGGUCAAAAAAUUGAAAGUAUCAAAUUCUCUAUACUUCCAAUAGCAUAUUUAUUACCUCUACACUAUAUCUACUAUGCUCUUAUGAGUACGAUCGUUUUCGUACUCAUAAGUUAUUUUCGAUGAUGGAGCUUUCGAAUCGAUGAUCCACUCUGUUAAAUAUAAUAUAUCUAGAGUAUUUGAAACUUCUAAAAAAUUUAAAUUUCGUAAUUUUUCAAAAUCAUAAUAAAGUCUAUCAAGCAGGCAUAAAAUGAACGGUUAAAAUCGAACGACAUUCUAAGAAUGGAUGAUCGGAUCCUUCAAUUUAAGAUCGGAGUUAUUGAUCUUUAUCUAGGCAGUGAAUAGAAUUUUCUAAAAGUUAAAAAUUGUCAAUUUUGUGAACUUUCGAUCGUAAGAUAAAUGAUGUCGAAAAAUUAUGAAAUUUGAUUUCUAAAAGUUUUAAAUGCUCUAAAUAAUGUUUAACAGUAUGGAUCAUCGAUUCGGAAGCUUUAUCAUCGAAAACGAUUUAUGAGUACAAGAGCGAUCGUACUCAUAAAAGUAUAGUAGUCGGACUCUCUCUCUCUUUAUAUAUAUAGAGAGAGAGUUGAGCUGGAAUGCUAUGCUAUUAGUAGCAAACGAGCUCCAUUGCCACCCAUUUAUUUUCGAUGAUAGAGUCUCUAAAUCGAUGAUUGGCACCGUUGAACAUGUUCUAUACCACUUGAAGUAUGCAGAAGCCAAAUUUCAAAUUUUUUCGACAUCAUUGACCUAAUGAUCAAAGGGCUUCAAAAGAGUUAAU